CGUGUAGGCGGUGCGGUAAGUUGGGCGUGAAAUCCCCGAGCUUAACUCGGGUGGGCCGUUCAAGACUGCCGUGCUAGGGUGCGGGAGAGGGAAGUGGAAUUUCCGGUGUAGACGGUGAAAUGCGUAGAUAUCGGGAGGAACACCUGCGGCGAAGGCGGCUUCCUGGACCGUAACCGACGCUGAGGCGCGAAAGCUAGGGGAGCAAACAGGAUUAGAUACCCUGGUAGUCCUAGCCCUAAACGAUGAGCACUGGGUGUGGCCCCUCACGGGGCCGUGCCGAAGCUAACGCAUUAAGUGCUCCGCCUGGGGAGUACGGUCGCAAGGCUGAA
rnacentral:rRNA from 1 species